rnacentral:rRNA from 1 species
CCUACGGGGGGCAGCAGUGAGGAAUAUUGGUCAAUGGGCGUAAGCCUGAACCAGCCAAGUCGCGUGAGGGAUGACGGCCCUAUGGAUUGUAAACCUCUUUUAUAAGGGAAUAAAGUGCGGGACGUGUCCCGUUUUGUAUGUACUUUAUGAAUAAGGAUCGGCUAACUCCGUGCCAGCAGCCGCGGUAAUACGGAGGAUCCGAGCGUUAUCCGGAUUUAUUGGGUUUAAAGGGUGCGUAGACGGCCUUUUAAGUCAGCGGUGAAAGUCUGUGGCUCAACCGUAAAAUUGCAAUUGAUACUGGGAGUCUUGAGUAUGGUUGAGGCAGGCGGAAUGCGUGGUGUAGCGGUGAAAUGCUUAGAUAUCACGAAGAACCCCGAUUGCGAAGGCAGCCUGCCAAGCCAUGACUGACACUGAUGCACGAAAGCGUGGGGAUCAAACAGGAUUAGAUACCCGAGUAGUC